CCCGGCCGUCGGCGCGCGCGUCGCUCUCGCUGACCAGGGACGUCGCCGCCGUGGGAUCCGGCGGGGAGGAAGGACGCAAGCGUGCCGGUGUGCCGCUGCUCACCCGCGCCGACCAUCACCGCCCCGCGCAGUGUUUAUUUUCUGACCCCUGGUUAGUCCAAUUCUACUAAUUCCUACUUUCAUGGCUCUACAGCAGCAACAACCGGUCGCCAGCUCCUCUCCUCGUGCCUCCGCGCCACUGCUCCUGCCGUUUAGACCAAUUUUUUUGCUGGCAAUAUAGGGAUGCCAUAACAAUAAUCCCAUGGAUAUGAUAAUUUUCAAUAAUCCCAUGGAUAUGAUCAUUUUAAAUUGAUCAAUAAUUCUCAGUUGUAUGGAUGGUUGAUGCGUGGCGGAGGUGGAGGAGGCGGUUGUGGGGAAGCCCGUGGGAAGAAUCUUCCCUGGUUUUGGAAGGUAAAAACAAAUCCCUUGCUUCCAUCAAUAUCCUUAUGCAAGUAUUUUGGCUGAUCAUUUCUUUUUGCAGAGAUGUUGAGAAUUAGUUACAAAGUUUGGUUUGAAUGCUGAGAAUGAUAUAAUACACACCCUUGCAUUCUUAGCUGGUGCCAUGGUUUGGUCACAGGUACUAAUGAGAUCUAAUGAGAUAACCACCGUCUUGGUUUUGUAUAUUGUUAGCUGUGAUCUAAUGAGAUUAUUAUUUUUCAGAAAUGAAGAAAUACCCAUUUUGAGCUAUAUAAUUUUGAAUUUCAAUGGGAUUUCGCAAAACUAAAAACUAGGUUGUGCUUCCUUUAAUUUAAACUACAUACUUGAUUAUCCAUAUUUUCAUAUGAUUUGUUUGUGCUUUGACACUAUUAUGUAAAUAAAUUAACCUCAAAAAAUAUAUUUGCUAAGAUCAACAUCAUUUUACCUA